GUCCACGCCGUAAACGUUGGGAACUAGGUGUGGGCGACAUUCCACGUCGUCCGUGCCGCAGCUAACGCAUUAAGUUCCCCGCCUGGGGAGUACGGCCGCAAGGCUAAAACUCAAAGGAAUUGACGGGGCCCGCACAAGCAGCGGAGCAUGUGGCUUAAUUCGACGCAACGCGAAGAACCUUACCAAGGCUUGACAUACACCGGAAAACCCUGGAGACAGGGUCCCCCUUGUGGUCGGUGUACAGGUGGUGCAUGGCUGUCGU
rnacentral:rRNA from 1 species